rnacentral:tRNA from 1 species
GGCUAAAUAAUUGAAAAUAAUAUAUUUUUACUUGUUUUUCAGUUGUUCGUCGUUUCGGCGAAAAAUCUUGCUUGGGGAUUCAAAAUCCCCCGCUGGCAACAGCGUGCGAGUUCGAGUCUCGCCUUGGGCACCA